GGGCACGGGGGGAACCGUCGACAGUCAGGCAACGAGCGAGACCCACGCCAACAGUUGCUAGCUCGUUCUCCGGGAUGGAGAGGACACUGUUGGGACCGCCUCUGCUAAAGAGGAGGAAGGAAUGGGCAACGGUAGGUCAGCAUGCCCCGAAUUAACUGGGCUACACGCGGGCUACAAUGGGUGGGACAAUGGGUAUCGACACCGAAAGGUGAAGGCAAUCUCCUAAACCCAUCCUUAGUUCGGAUUGUGGGCUGCAACUCGCCCACAUGAAGCUGGAAUCCGUAGUAAUCGUAUCUCAAUAUGGUACGGUGAAUAUGUCCCUGCUCCUUGCACGAAUUCGCCG
rnacentral:rRNA from 1 species